AAACAUAAUAUGCACGUGUAAUUUUCUUGACGUGAUCCUCAAUGAGAUUCCUGGAAGCGAUGGUGGCGACAAUCGGGAUCCGAUACGUGCGACGGGAUCAGCUCGACUGCUCGAGAAUAUUGGACAAUUUUACAGUGCCGUUCGCUCUCUCCGACUCAUGGAGGAUUAUCAGAAUUAGUCAUCGUUGUGACGUGUCGUGGAUACCUGACCAAUCGCUGAGCGGGACGUGGGGAAAUUGCCUUAUAUGGGCAGAGGCAUGCAACUGGCAGACACAUUUGACUCGCGCUGUUGCGCACGCAUGCGACCGUUUACGAAUAGAUUGUCAGUUUUAAAAGAAUUUUUGGUAUCGCCACUCGAUGGCAGCACACUGAUAAAAACUUUUUGAAUUACUGGUUUUAUAUAUAUAAAAAAAAGGAUUGUAUUUAUGUCGAAAUUAUAAUAGAGAGUGUCAGUGUUAUCUUAGGUACGUUACAAAAGCAUUAGUAUUACAAUAAAGAACAAUUGUUGUAUAUUCGUAUAUUUUAUUUGGUAUUAUUUGACAUACUUAGUCAUAUUGAUAAGAGAUGGCGCCAUAUGUGAUAGAAACCAAAUAGUAGGAAUCAUUUUAAAUAUUUGAAAACUGAUAAAAUAAUCGUAAUAUUAAUCAUCGCAUAACUUCAUUUACUCAUUAAUUUUUGCGAAUCUUCUAAUUAUAAACUAUAAAAUCAUCUGAAAAAAGUUGAUCAGUCUUUGUCACGUCUGUAAAUCAAAUUGUAUUAUUGCGAAUGAAUUAUGAAAAUAGGGAUGACUUUUCAAACAUUAUUGUAUUGGCGCUAUAUGCUAUAAUACAUAAAGAUUUUGUAUACAUUAUUUUCCGUAGACGCAAUUGCAUGCGCGUGCAUUCAUGUACGUCGAAAUAUUCAUAUAGACACGUGUAUAUGUACAAACCCAUAUUUUACCACACUAUAUUUAAAAGACGUACGUACCAGAAAUGAUAAGUUAACAAGUCACAAGUUACAAAGUCCAUUCAAGCCAAUAAGUAUUUAUCGCAUUCGUAUUGAUCCUCCUCAGUAUUUUAUGACCCUUAUAUCAUAGGACACAAGAUACUGUUUAAUUUUCUUUGCCUAAUUCAAAAUAAAGGUACCGUAUAUAUA